rnacentral:rRNA from 1 species
GACGGGGCCCGCNCAAGCGGUGGAGCAUGUGGUUUANUUCGAUGCAACGCGAAGANCCUUNNCUACUCUUGACAUCCAGAGAAGCCAGCAGAGAUGCAGGUGUGCCUUCGGGAGCUCUGAGACAGGUGCUGCAUGGCGUCGUCAGCUCGUGUUGUGAAAUGUUGGGUUAAGUCCCGCAACGAGCGCAACCCUUAUCCUUGUUUGCCAGCACGUAAUGGUGGGAACUCCAGGGAGACUGCCGGUGAUAAACCGGAGGAAGGUGGGGACGACGUCAAGUCAUCAUGGCCCUUACGAGUAGGGCUACACACGUGCUACAAUGGUGCAUACAGAGGGAAGCAAGAGCGCGAGCUGGAGCGGAUCCCAAAAAGUGCAUCGUAGUCCGGAUUGGAGUCUGCAACUCGACUCCAUGAAGUCGGAAUCGCUAGUAAUCGUGAUCAGAAUGCCACGGUGAAUACGUUCCCGGGCCUUGUACACACCGCCGUNUCUUGC